rnacentral:rRNA from 1 species
CAGCAGCCGCGGUAAUACGUAGGGUGCAAGCGUUAAUCGGAAUUACUGGGCGUAAAGCGUGCGCAGGCGGUUAUAUAAGACAGAUGUGAAAUCCCCGGGCUCAACCUGGGAACUGCAUUUGUGACUGUAUAGCUAGAGUACGGCAGAGGGGGAUGGAAUUCCGCGUGUAGCAGUGAAAUGCGUAGAUAUGCGGAGGAACACCGAUGGCGAAGGCAAUCCCCUGGGCCUGUACUGACGCUCAUGCACGAAAGCGUGGGGAGCAAACAGGAUUAGAUACCCCUGUAGUCCCUGUCCUUAUACA